GACGAACGCUGGCGGCAUGCCUAACACAUGCAAGUCGAGCGAGCAGAUCCCUUCGGGGUGAAGCUAGCGGCGGACGGGUGAGUAACACGUGGGCAACCUACCUCAUAGAGGGGAAUAGCCUUCCGAAAGGAAGAUUAAUACCGCAUAAGAUUGUAGCUUCGCAUGAAGCAGCAAUUAAAGGAGCAAUCCGCUAUGAGAUGGGCCCGCGGCGCAUUAGCUAGUUGGUGAGGUAACGGCUCACCAAGGCGACGAUGCGUAGCCGACCUGAGAGGGUGAUCGGCCACAUUGGGACUGAGACACGGCCCAGACUCCUACGGGAGGCAGCAGUGGGGAAUAUUGCACAAUGGGGGAAACCCUGAUGCAGCAAUGCCGCGAGUGAUGACGGCCUUCGGGUUGUAAAGCUCUGUCUUCGGGGACGAUAAUGACGGUACCCGAGGAGGAAGCCACGGCUAACUACGUGCCAGCCGCCGCGGUAA
rnacentral:rRNA from 1 species